UACAGAGGUCUCAAGCGUUGUUCGGAUUCAUUGGGCGUAAAGGGCGCGUAGGCGGCUUGGCAAGUGGAUGGUGAAAUCCCUCGGCUUAACCGAGGAACUGCCGUCCAAACUGCUUUGCUUGAGACCGGGAGAGGUGAGUGGAAUUCCCAGUGUAGCGGUGAAAUUCGUAGAUAGUCGGGAAGGAACACCAGUGGCGGAAGGCGGCGACCUGGACAGAUAUUGACGCUGAGGUGCGAAAGCGUGGGGAGCAAACAGG
rnacentral:rRNA from 1 species